GAUGAACGCUGGCGGCGUGCCUAAUACAUGCAAGUCGAGCGAACAGACGAGGAGCUUGCUCCUCUGACGUUAGCGGCGGACGGGUGAGUAACACGUGGAUAACCUACCUAUACGACUGGGAUAACUUCGGGAAACCGGAGCUAAUACCGGAUAAUAUAUUGAACCGCAUGGUUCAAUAGUGAAAGACGGUUUUGCUGUCACUUAUAGAUGGAUCCGCGCCGCAUUAGCUAGUUGGUAAGGUAACGGCUUACCAAGGCAACGAUGCGUAGCCGACCUGAGAGGGUGAUCGGCAACACUGGAACUGAGACACGGUCCAGACUCCGACGGGAGGCAGCAGGAGGGAAUCUUCCGCAAUGGGCGAAAGCCUGACGGAGCAACGCCGCGUGAGUGAUGAAGGUCUUCGGAUCGUAAAACUCUGUUAUUAGGGAAGAACAAAUGUGUAAGUAACUAUGCACGGCUUGACGGUACCUAAUCAGAAAGCCACGGCUAACUACGUG
rnacentral:rRNA from 1 species